rnacentral:rRNA from 1 species
GCCAGUUGUCAUAUGCUUGUACUAAAAGAUUAAGCCAUGCAAGUGUAAGUAUAAAUAGACAAAUUAUUGUACUAUGAGACUGCGAAUGGCUCAUUAAAUCAGCAAUCAUUUAUUCGGUGGAUGAAGUAAUUCUAAAAUGGAUAACCGUGGGAAAUCUAGAGCUAAUACAUGCAAAAGAGAAUUCUUUAGAAAAAGGAAUGCAUAUAUUAGAUACAAAUCCAAAAAUACAAAGGUGAAUCAUAAUAUUUAUAGCAAAUUAUACAGAGGAAGUAAUUCUUCUUGAUAAUAAACCGAUCAAAUUUCUGCCCUAUCAUACUUUGGACGGUAAUGUAGUGGAUUACGGUGGUGAUGACGGGUAACGGAGAAUUAGGGUUUGAUUCCGGAGAGGGAGCAUGAGAAAUGGCUACCACUUCCAAGGAAGGCAGCAGGCGC